UUUUGGUGGGGAGAUGGAGAGGAGAAAAAGAAAAUGCACUGGUUUGCAUGGUGGAAAUUAUGUGUCCCAAAGAAGAAGGGUGGCAUGGGGUUUAGGGACCUUCACAGCUUUAAUCUUGCUAUGUUAGCAAAGCAGUGUUGGCGACUUCUCCAAAAUCCUGAUUCUUUAUGUGCACGUGUUCUGAGUGCCAAGUAUUAUCCAAAUGGUGAUAUUCUGAAGGCAGGGCCUAAAAAGGGUUCAUCAUUCACUUGGCAAAGCAUUGUUGCAGGUAUACAGACUUUCAAGCGAGGGUGUAUUUGGCGGAUAGGGUCUGGCUCACAUAUUAACAUAUGGGAUGAUCCCUGGAUUCCUUAG
rnacentral:rRNA from 1 species